rnacentral:miRNA from 1 species
ACUUGGUUAUAUGAUUGACAGCU